rnacentral:tRNA from 1 species
GCGGCCGUAGCUCAAUGGUGGAGCAAGGUCCUUAUAAGACCGAGGUUGAUGGUUCGAAUCCAUCCGGCCGCACCA